rnacentral:misc_RNA from 1 species
UACCAAUUUUCUGCCCUCUCUCACAGUGCUGAGUAGACCUAAGCGCGCAGUUUUCGAACUUGAUUUCAAUUCUAAUUUUAUUUUGAUUUAAUUUUAGUUCAAUUUAUUUACUUUGAUCAAAUUUAAUAGUUAAAUUUUUUAUUAAAAAUUUAACUUAGAAUUAGAUUGAAUCAAUCAAAAUUGAUCUGACUUAGUUUUGAUCUGAUUACUCCAAUUAAAUAUGAGUUUAUCAAUUUUGAUUCAAAUUCAGACUGGCCUAUGUCUAGCUCUGAGAAAAGUAUAUGCUAUUGCUACAUGUAGAAUAGCCUAGGAGCUAGAAUUUUGUCAGGGAGGCUAACGAGUGCGCGGACUGAUUACUCAAUCAAUGAAAACUAUUUCUCCUUUUAGUUUAACCUAUAAAACUCAUAUUUUUGUAAAUUUAAAUUUUAUUUUUCCUACAUUUUUUUUAAUAAAAUCCUACGAAUUGAUGAAAUUAAAAAAUGCAUGAAAUUUCAAUUGUUUUAGCAAGACAAUGAAAUCAAAAGUUUUUUCUAAUCAUAUUGAAGUGUUGCUAAUAAAAUAAUUCCCCAAAAUACAUCUUUAAAAUAAAGAUAAUAAAAACCUCUAAUUUGUCAUCAUGGCUUUGGUAUUUUAAGUUAAUUACAUCAAUUCAUUUUAUACUACGACUUACUUUGAUGGAGCAAAGUACAGCAAAUCAGUUCUUAUCUUUAUUUGAGGUAAAAAUAAUUUCAAAAGCUCCAUUUGUUCUCAUUUGCUGAAAUUGCAAAGGCGCUUUGAGGAAUUCUUAUAAAGCAAAAUGGCAAACACAUGCACAAUCACUUAUUUCAAUGUCUUAGUUGGUCCCUUAAAAGUUUUAUAGUAAAAGCUCAUUUUGGUGGUAUUGGUAACAU